GGCUGUCUUCAUCUAAAUAAUUUGCAGAUUGUUUGGUACUCUUAAAAGAUAGUAACUAUUUCUUCAUGAGUCCAACUGUAUACGCUUUUUUUUUUCUUUGACCUUAUGGAAGAUUAUGAAGUGGUUUCGAGAAGAAGAAGAAAGUAGAACGAGUGUAAUUCGGUUUGUCAUUUUUCUUCUUUUUCCACUCUGCCUCCAGAUUCAAAGCCUAGAAGCCAAGAUGGAAACCUACCAAUGUCACCUGAAUGGCAGUAUGGAUAACAGCUAG
rnacentral:lncRNA from 1 species